rnacentral:hammerhead_ribozyme from 1 species
UCACUGCUGAUGAGUCCUAAAUAGGACAAAACAGAUGUCCAGUAC